GCCUAAUUGAAUUUAGCGCGCGGGAUCGCCUGGCCAGCAGCGCGGUAAUCGAGGUGCAGCGUACGAAUAUGGGUAAUGGUCGUAGGCGGCGAUAGUCAGUGCGAAAUCCGCAGCUAACUGUGAAACUGCAUUGAUACUGUCGUCUGAGUAAAUUUGAAGUGGCUGGAAUAAGUAGUGUAGCGGGUGAAAUGCAUAGAUAUUACUUAGAACACCAAUUGCGAAGGCAGGUCACUAAGAUUUAACUGACGCUGAGGGACGAAAGCGUGGGGAGCGAACAGGAUUAGAUACCCUGGUAGUCCACGCCGUAAACGAUGCUAACUCGUUUUUGGAUUUUCGGAUUCAGAGACCAAGCGAAAGUGAUAAGUUAGCCACCUGGGGAGUACGAUCGCAAGAUUGAAACUCAAAGGAAUUGACGGGGGCCCGCACAAGCGGUGGAUUAUGUGGUUUAAUUCGAUGAUACGCGAGGAACCUUACCAAGACUUAAAUGGGAAUUGACAGAUUUAGAAAUAGAUCCUCCUUCGGGCAAUUUUCAAGGUGCUGCAUGGUUGUCGUCAGCUCGUGCCGUGAGGUGUUAGGUUAAGUCCUGCAACGAGCGCAACCCCUGUCACUAGUUGCUAACAUUAAGUUGAGGACUCUAGUGAGACUGCCUACGCAAGUAGAGAGGAAGGUGGGGAUGACGUCAAAUCAUCACGGCCCUUACGUCUUGGGCCACACACGUAAUACAAUGGCCGGUACAGAGGGCAGCUACACAGCGAUGUGAUGCAAAUCUCGAAAGCCGGUCUCAGUUCGGAUUGGAGUCUGCAACUCGACUCUAUGAAGCUGGAAUCGCUAGUAAUCGCGCAUCAGCCAUGGCGCGGUGAAUACGUUCCCGGGCCGUGCACACACCGCCCGUC
rnacentral:rRNA from 1 species